rnacentral:rRNA from 1 species
CGGUCGUCUCUAAUAUAGACGGCUAAUGACGGUACCUGAAGAAUAAGCACCGGCUAACUACGUGCCAGCAGCCGCGGUAAUACGUAGGGUGCAAGCGUUAAUCGGAAUUACUGGGCGUAAAGCGUGCGCAGGCGGUUUCGUAAGUCAGAUGUGAAAUCCCCGGGCUCAACCUGGGAAUGGCAUUUGAGACUGCGAGGCUAGAGUGUGUCAGAGGGGGGUAGAAUUCCACGUGUAGCAGUGAAAUGCGUAGAGAUGUGGAGGAAUACCGAUGGCGAAGGCAGCCCCCUGGGAUAACACUGACGCUCAUGCACGAAAGCGUGGGGAGC